rnacentral:siRNA from 1 species
UGUUAGUGAUCGGACAAUUGUAA